rnacentral:rRNA from 1 species
UACGGAGGGUGCAAGCGUUAUCCGGAUUCACUGGGUUUAAAGGGUGCGUAGGCGGGCAGGUAAGUCCGUGGUGAAAUCUCCGAGCUUAACUCGGAAACUGCCAUAGAUACUAUUUGUCUUGAAUGUUGUGGAGGUGAGCGGAAUAUGUCAUGUAGCGGUGAAAUGCUUAGAUAUGACAUAGAACACCAAUUGCGAAGGCAGCUCACUACACAAAUAUUGACGCUGAGGCACGAAAGCGUGGGGAUCAAACAGG